GACGAACGCUGGCGGCGUGCCUAAUACAUGCAAGUCGAGCGAUGAAGAUUGGUGCUUGCACCAAUUUGAAGAGCAGCGGACGGGUGAGUAACGCGUGGGGAAUCUGCCUUUGAGCGGGGGACAACAUUUGGAAACGAAUGCUAAUACCGCAUAACAACUUUAAACAUAAGUUUCAAGUUUGAAAGAUGCAAUUGCAUCACUCAAAGAUGAUCCCGCGUUGUAUUAGCUAGGUGGUGAGGUAAAGGCUCAACAAGGGGAAGAUACAUAGCCGACCUGAGAGGGGGGACGGGCAAAAUGGGAAUGGAAACAGGGCCAAACUCCUUAGGGGGGGAGCAAGAGGGGAACUUUGGGAAUGGGGGGAAGGCUGAACGAGGAACGCCGCGUGGGUGGAGAAGGGUUUCGGAUCGGAAAACUCUGUUGGUAGGGAAGAACGUUGGUGAGAGUGAAAAGCUCAUCAAGUGACGGUAACUACCCAGAAAGGGACGGCUAACUACGUG
rnacentral:rRNA from 1 species